UGAAGGUGACGAAGUUGUAAGCACAACAGAAGCUGAAAGAACAAGGAGUGGAACAGCAGCUCUGCCAUCGCAUCGUACCAUGACCUGCUGCUGCUGGAUCCUGGACGAAUUCGAGCACCUCCUUCAUAGGCUGCUGAGCAUCGCUAUAUUGGUGGUACUGAUUUUUCUCCUGUAUCGAUACGUUAUCGAGCCAGCAUUGUAUGGUCAUGAAGACGAGUCUGCUCGCAAAGUGAUGAUUGCAUGGAGAGCUGCUGCUGACGAAGCGAGGGCCCAUGGCAGGCGUCUACCUGGGUAGCAAACCAGGACUGAUAAAAGCUGAUAAAACUGAUAAAAAGCA